GUCCCUGUAGUGCAAUGGAUAGCCCGUUGGACUUUCAAUCCAGAGAUCGGGGUUCGAAUCCCAUCAGGGAUG